AUUGAACGCUGGCGGCAUGCUUUACACAUGCAAGUCGAACGGCAGCGCGGGCUUCGGCCUGGCGGCGAGUGGCGAACGGGUGAGUAAUACACCGGAACGUGCCCAGUCGUGGGGGAUAGCCCGGCGAAAGCCGGAUUAAUACCGCAUACGACCUGAGGGUGAAAGCGGGUGAUCUUCGGACCUCGCGCUAUUGGAGCGGCCGAUGGCCGAUUAGCUAGUUGGUGGGGUAAAGGCCUACCAAGGCGAGGAUCUGUAGCUGGUCUGAGAGGACGACCAGCCAGCUGGGGAGUGAGACAGGGCCGAGACUCCUACGGGAGGCAGCAGUGGGGAAUUUUGGGCAAUGGGGGAGAGCCUGAUACAGCAAUACGGCGUGUGGGAUGAAGGCGUUCGGGUUGUAAAGCACUGAUGGCGGGAGCGAAAAGGAGUGUGCCAAUACCACGGUUCGAUGACGGUACCCGCAGAAUAAGCACCGGCUAACUACGUG
rnacentral:rRNA from 1 species